GUUCCUUGGAAAAGGACAGCUGAGAGGGUGACACUCCCGUCCGCCUGGUAGAAUGAGUCUUUGUCAACGAGUCGAGUUGUUUGGGAUUGCAGCUCUAAUUUGGUGGUAAAUUCCAUCUAAAGCUAAAUAUUGGUGGGAGACCGAUAGCGUACAAGUACCGCGAGGGAAAGAUGCAAAGAACUUUGAAAAGAGAGUUAAAGAGUACCUGAAAUUGCUGAAACGGAAGCGAAGGAAACCAGUGUUUGUUGGUUCAUAUUUCCCUUGUCACUUGUGAUGUGGGCGCUGUGAGCUUGCGUGGGUUUGCUUUGGUUGAUUCCUUUGGAAGAGCGCAGUCAGAGUUGAUGUCU
rnacentral:rRNA from 1 species